rnacentral:lncRNA from 1 species
GUGCCUUAAAGUCAUACAGUAAAUCAAUGUCAGAGCCUGGGCUAUAAUUCACAUGGAGUCCCCUGACUCUUGGCACAAGGCUCUUUUUAUUAAACUACGAAGUCUUUUUGUUUUUUCCUUAAUAAUGAAUGGGGCUAGAAGGGAUUUCCACACUCCAUCCAAGACUCCUGCUUGCUUAUUCUGAGAAAGCAAUCAACUUUAACUCCAACUUUGUUUUUCCAAAGAGCCUGGACAAGUAUUCACUAAGGGCUUUAUGAAACCUUAAGCAAAGCACUCUUUGUAUAAAUACCAUUUUGAAAGAGUUUUCUGGCUAGAAUUAAUAUAAACGCACAUUGACUGUUGACUUUAGGAAGACUUUCACGUGAAUAUCAAUUUUUGAAGUUUAUUUAUUUUGAAAAUUCACUCAUUUAUCUAAAAAUGUGUGUUUUGGUUUAGCAAAUUAUAAUCAAAGUUUGUUAGAUAUUUUUUUAUUGGGGAAACUGGUUUUAUUUACAUAAAAUAAGCAUGCUAAUUUUCCUAAAUGAUUUUCAGGACAUAGGCAAGGCUGACUAUCAUCAACCUGGACCUUUAGACAAAAGCGAAUGGCAGGACUGGAAUUGGCUGGUAGACAACAGGGGAACAAGUGAAACACCGGUCUGAAAACCUAAGGCAACAAGACCUUUUGGAGCUUCCUAAAAGGUUAUGAUGAGGAUCAGCUCAAGUUUUAAGGAAAAUAGAACUGACUGUACUCCUCGCGAGGUUUCAGGCUCGUUAUACUCCAAAUAUCGUUACGUUUGCGAUGAAGUUUUCUCAGUGCUCAGUCAAUCCUCAGCAAACCAGCCUCCAUCCGUAGGCGAUCCCCGGGGCCAGCCUCAGCGCUCCCUCAGCUUGCACCUGAACACCUGCAGGCGCCAGCCGCCAUCCGUUUCUCCACGCCCCAAAACCAGAUGGACAUUCUAG